rnacentral:rRNA from 1 species
GACGAACGCUGGCGGCGUGCCUAAUACAUGCAAGUAGAACGCUGAAGGAGGAGCUUGCUCUUCUGGAUGAGUUGCGAACGGGUGAGUAACGCGUAGGUAACCUGCCUGGUAGCGGGGGAUAACUAUUGGAAACGAUAGCUAAUACCGCAUAACAGUAGAUGUUGCAUGACAUUUACUUAAAAGGUGCAAUUGCAUCACUACCAGAUGGACCUGCGUUGUAUUAGCUAGUUGGUGGGGUAACGGCUCACCAAGGCGACGAUACAUAGCCGACCUGAGAGGGUGAUCGGCCACACUGGGACUGAGACACGGCCCAGACUCCUACGGGAGGCAGCAGUAGGGAAUCUUCGGCAAUAGACGGAAGUCCGACCGAGCAACGCCGCGUGAGUGAAGAAGGUUUUCGGAUCGUAAAGCUCUGUUGUAAGAGAAGAACGAGUGUGAGAGUGGAAAGUUCACACUGUGACGGUAUCUUACCAGAAAGGGACGGCUAACUACGUG